AUUGAACGCUGGCGGCAGGCCUAACACAUGCAAGUCGAACGGUAGCACAGAGAGCUUGCUCUCGGGUGACGAGUGGCGGACGGGUGAGUAACGUCUGGGAAACUGCCCGGUGGAGGGGGAUAACUACUGGAAACGGUAGCUAAUACCGCAUAACGUCGCAAGACCAAAGUGGGGGACCUUCGGGCCUCACACCAUCGGAUGUGCCCAGAUGGGAUUAGCUAGUUGGUGGGGUAAAGGCCUACCAAGGCGAUGAUGGCUAGCCGGCCUGAGAGGGUGUCCGGCCACACUGGAACUUAGACACGGUCCAGACUCCUACGGGAGGCAGCAGUGGGGAAUAUUGCGCAAUGGGCGAAAGCCUGACGCAGCGACGCCGCGUGGAGGAUGAAGGUCUUCGGAUUGUAAACUUCUGUUAAGUGGGAAAAAAGACCAGUCUUUAAUAGAGGCUGGGGAUGAUUGUACCAUUAGAGAAAGCACUGGCUAACUUCGUGCCAGCCGCCGCGGUAA
rnacentral:rRNA from 1 species